rnacentral:rRNA from 1 species
ACGAGCGCAACCCUUGAGCCUAGUUGCCAUCAUUAAGUGGGGCACUCUAAGGUGACUGCCGGUGACAAACCGGAGGAAGGUGGUGAUGACGUCAAAUCAUCAUGCCCCUUAUGACCUGGGCUACACACGUGCUACAAUGGACGGUACAAAGAGCUGAAAGACCGCGAGGUGGAGCUAAUCUCAUAAAACACAUCUCAGUUCGGAUUGUAGGCUCCACCUCGCGUACAUGCACCUGGAAUCGCUAGUAAU